ACGGACACACGAAAACGCAACUUUCUUAUCGAGGAAAAUAAAAAUUAACCUUCAAGUGAAGAGACUUGAGUACCAUAAAAAGACGAAAAGACCCUAUGGAGCUUUACUUAAGUUAUUAAACCACAAAUAAAAAAAGCUUUUUUUACUAAAAAAGUUUAGUUGGGGCGACUAAGGAGCACACACCACCCUCCUACUGACAAAAGACUCUAAAUCUACAAAAGAUCCACAAACGUGAAUAAAAAUCCAGCUACCCUAGGGAUAACAGGCUAAUCCUCCUUAAGAGCUCAAAUUGACAGGAGGGCUUGGCACCUCGAUGUUGGCUUAAGAUCUCUACUAAGUGCAGCAGCUUAGGUAGUAGGUUUGUUCAACCUUUAAAAUCUUACGUGAUCUGAGUUCAGACCGGA
rnacentral:rRNA from 1 species